AAAAAAAGUGUUAAUUUCAUGGGAAAACUUCAGAAACCCCCCUGUAGUUUCGUAGUUUCUCAUUUUAGCCCCCUAUUAUUUAAAAUGUAUCAAAUUGUCCUUCUGUGGUUUCGUUUUUAUCUUUUCAGUAACUUUUUCGUUAAUAUUUCAUUAAAUUAUAUACAAUACCCAUCUAGAUUUAUCAAAUAUUUACUCUAGUUCCCUUUAAUUUUAACUUUAUAACUGAUUUAAGAAAAAAAAAUAAUAAAAUUGAUAACAAAAAAGAGAAAAAAGAAAUCACAGGGAGGCAAAUUGAUACAUUUUAAACCAUAGGGGGGCAAAGUGAGAAACUACGAAACCACAGGGAGAGUUUUUGAAGUUUUCCCUAAUUUCAUACAUGUAACUAUAAAUACAGUGAAUGACAGAUAUAUUUCUAUAAAGUUCAACUUUUAUAUAUUACUAGCAACUAACCCGUGCAAUGCACGGAUUUUAAAUUUAUCUUUUAAUUACAUUUUUUAUAUAAUAUAUAUUAAUUUUUACAUAUUAAGUUUUUCUAAUAUAUUUUUAUUACAAUUUUUAUAUAAUAUAUAUUAAUUUUUACAU
rnacentral:lncRNA from 1 species